CCGAGCGACGAACGGGUGAGUAACGCGUGAUAACCUGCCCCUGAAUAGGGAACAACCGCUCCAACGGACGGCUAAUGCCGGAUAUUGCGGUGUGUCGCAUGGCACAUUGGCGAAAGAUUUAUUGUUCAGGGAUGGAUUCGCGUCUGAUUAGGCAGUUGGCGGGGUAACGGCCCACCAAACCAACGAUCAGUAGCCGGCCUGAGAGGGCGAUCGGCCACAUUGGGACUGAGAUACGGCCCAGACUCCUACGUGGAGUGCAGCAGCAGGGAAUAUUGCGCAAUGGGGGCAACCCUGACGCAGCGACGCCACGUGUGGGACGAAGCGCUUAGGCGUGUAAACCACUGUCGUGAGGGAGUAGCGCGCCAUUUAGGUGGUGUUGAAUGUACCUCGAGAGGAAGCACCGGCAAACUUCGUGCCAGCAGCCGCCGGUAAUACGAGG
rnacentral:rRNA from 1 species